rnacentral:misc_RNA from 1 species
CUUGGAGAGAAGAGAGAAGAAAGCCAUUGAUGGCGAACAAGCUCCUCAGCGAAAUGGGUCUUCCCAACUCCAUAGCCAACAUUUUUGCUGCUCGUAACCUUAUUACUGCUAAGGAUGUAUUUUCACUGACAGAAUUUGAGUUGAUGGAAUUGCUAGAUGUGGAUUUGGCUGUAGUAACAUCAGCGAUGGCACACAUCAGUGAAAUUACAUGCCCUCCGUACCAAACUGCACUGUCAUUGUUGGAACAGCGUGGUCAAAAUGAGAACAUGGCUGGCCAUCUUCCAACUUCUCUAAAAGGACUUGACAAUGCUCUGUGUGGUGGACUUCCUUUUGGUGUUGUGACAGAGCUAGUGGGUCCAGCAGGCAUUGGUAAAACCCAGUUCUGCUUGAAGCUUUCGUUACUAGCUUCUCUUCCUUCGAGUUAUGGCGGCUUAGAUGGUUCCGUAGUUUAUAUCGAUACAGAAUCCAAAUUUAGUUCACGG